ACACAUACCAACCAGCAGGCCACAGGAAAAGGGCUCCCCUUGCCAAAUAAUUUUGCCCAGUCCUCCUCUCACACAGGGGAAGCAAAAACCGAUCCAUUAGCUUGGUUGUCUGGGAGUCCCAGAACUCCUCAAAACAGAUCCAUCAGUUGAAAGCAUAAAUAUUUACUUUGGGCUCAUCUGAAUAACCCAGAACAGGGACUCUGUUUUUUAUCAGUAAUAAAAAACACUCCCACCUAAAGUGGGAUUUAGAGCUUUUUGUCUUUCAAUCUUGCCUGCCUAGAAUCACUCAAACUUUCUGUGAGAGACUAUAUCAGGAUUUCCUCAUGGCCUCCAAGCGGGGCUGGGGGCCGGGGGUGCACAUGAGCACAAAAGGAAUGCUCUCACAGGGGAGCUGUGUUUUCUUUUACUGUGAAAAGUAUGUGUGGCCUCAGCCUGGCUCCUAGUACACAGGUAACUGAAAUAUUUGCCCUUGGGAGAGAAAGCGCAGAAUGUUCUCUUAAAAUGCUCCAACUGGUGAAAUAAGAGAUUUUAGAUAAACAGCUUUUGAGGGACCCCAUUUCCUGAGCUAUGCUUUGAUCACAUGACAACAGCGCCAGCGAAAACACUUUGUUAUCCUUUCAAGGGAGAUGUUCGAGAAAGAACUUCUGCCUGGGUCAUGGAGGUUGAAACCAAAUCCUGAGUGAUGGUAUUAGACGGCCUUUGAGAGGUGAUAAGGUCAUGAGGAUGACCUUCAUGAAUAGAAUUAGUACUCUUAUAAAAGAGAUCUCAGAGAGACUCCUCAUCCCUUCCAACAGAUGAAGUUACAGUGAGAAGACAGCAUCUACGAUGAACUGGGCCCUCAUCAGACCCCAAAUUUUUCACGCCCAAAUCUUGGACUUCACAGCCUCCGGAACUAUGAGAAAUAAUAUUUCUGUUGUUUCUAAACCACUCAGUCUAUCAUAUUCUAUUACAGCAACCUGAACAAUAUAAGACAGAAAAUUGGGACAGGAAGUAGUGUGAUGCUGCAACAAAUAUCUAAAAAUGUGGAAGUGGUUUGAGAACAGGGUGAUGGGUAGACUAGAAGAGGUUUGAGGUGCAUGCUAGAAAAAGCUUACAUUAGCAUGAAGGGAAUUUAAAGGCAAUCCUGGUGAGCCUUCAGAAAAAAAAAAAAAAAGGAGAGCUGCAGAGAAAACCUCAAUCUUCCUUUAGAAUAUCUAAGUAGGCUGGAUGUGGUGGCUCACACCUGUAAUCCCAGCACUUUGGGAGGCCGAGGAGGGGGGAUCACUUGAGGUCAGGAGUUCAAGACCAGCCUGGCCAACAUGGUAAAACCUCAUCUCUACCAAAAAAAAAAAAAUUACAAAAAUUUGCUAUGCAUGUUGACACAUGCCUGUAGUCCCAGCUACUAGGGAGGUUGAAGCAGGAGAAUUGCUUGAACCUGGGAGGUGGAGGUUGCAGUGAGCUGAGAUCAUACCUUUGUACUGCAGCCUGGGUGAGACCCUGUCCAAAAAAAAAAAAAUCUAAGUAAUCCUGAGUAGAGCCUUUGGUGGAAAUAUGGAUAGUAAAGACCACUCUGAUAGAUCUCAGAUAGAAGUCAGAAGCAUGUUAUUGGACAACGAAGGAGAGAUCGUCUUUCUUAUAAAGUGCCAAGUAAGUAUGCUGUAUUAUCCUGGUGCCAUGGUGUUUUAUGGAAGGCAGAACCUGCUAGUUAUAAAAUUGAAUAUUUGCCUAAGAAAAUAUUUAUACAAAAUAUUGAUAGGAUGACCUGGUUUCUCUGGACUGUUUAUAGUAAAGUGUGAGAAAAGAGAAAGAAAUUAAAUAUGAAAUUUUUCAUCAAAAGAGAAGCAAAACUUAAAUAUUUGGGAAAUCCUUGGCCUACCAAUAUUGAAAGGAAAAAGAAAGCCUGCUCAGGAGAAAACACAAAGGGUGUGGCCAAAGGACUAUCAAAUGAGAUUAUUCAAUCAUCUAAAUGGAAGCUAGGAGUUUUUGUCUAAGACAAUGGAAAAAGCCUUUCCCCCUCACCCCUGCCCCAAGGCAAUUCAGAGAUUAUCAGAGGAACCACCUGUGCCUGAGGGACCACGCUGCAUCAGCACCUCACAUCACAGGCUCUGCUCUUUGCAUCUGGUUCCAUGUUCUUCAAUCCCCCAAGCUUUGGCUUUGGCAGGCUCAGGUACCAUGUGGGCCGAAAUGGUUGCUGCUUAAGAAGACAGAGGCAUUUGACUGCAUUCAUAUGGUGCCAUUUCUGCUGCUGCACAAGUCACGGGGCUGUGGCUGCCUCCAUCUAGAUUUUGAAGGAUGGAGCUCCUCUCUUACCAGCGAUGAAGAGGGGCAGGGUUCGCUACACACAAUGGAUUGCUAUUUUCACUUUAAUUAAUUUUAUUUUAAAAUAAUUAAAAAUUAGAUAAAAUAUCUUUCAUACUUAUCACUUUAAAAUUUCUUAAAAUAUUUAUAACUUUAUGUACAUUUAACUUUUUGUCUGGGAUCAUAUGUCAUUUGCCUAAAGAAAUUUUUAAAAAUAUCUCUUUCAGUGGAAGUAACUGGUAAUGAUUUCUCUUAGCUUUAGUGUUUUAAAAUUCUUUAUUUUAUGUAAAGGCUUUUAAAGCCUAUUUAUAGAAAAUUUUAUAUAAAUGUGUAUAAAAUAACACAUAUUAAAUUAUGUAUAUAAUACAUACAUGACAUAGGCAUAUUAUGUAUCUUUUUUCUUCCCUGAAGUACUUUUAAGAUGCCACUCCAUUGUCUUCUGGCUUUCAUAUCUUCAAUUACAAGUCUACUGUAAUUCAUCUAUUUGCUUCUUUGUAUUCAUUGUGUCUUUUGUUUUUCCUCUCUAGCUUCCAUCAAGUUUUUGCCUUUAUCUUUCAUUUCCAAAAGUUUUAAUGUGGUGUCUAUAAGUGUUCUUUUUUCUUUUUUGGUAUUAUCUUGCUUGAAAUAAUCUUACUCUCUUAGAUCUACGAUUUGAUGUAUUUUGUUAGUUUUAGAAAAUGUAUUUCACCCUCAUUUUCUCUUACUUCUCCUUCUGGAAUUCCAACUUACAUCUUAGACCUUUUGAAAUUUUCCCACAGGUCUUGCAUGCUGUGUUCUUUUUUGUUUCUCCCCCUCUCUCCCUUUUCUUUAUGCUUCAGUGUGGGUUAUUUCUAUUGAUUUAUCUUUGGAUCACUGAUUUUUUCCCCUGGCCAUACUGAAUCUACAGAUGAGCCCAUCAGAUGUUUUUGUUUUCAUCUCUACUGCUUUAUUUGUUUGUUUGUUUCUUAGAUUUUUCAUUUGUCAAAAGAUUGUAGUUUCCAUGACUCUUGAAAUUUCCAAUCUGUUUAUGCAUGCUGUUUAUCUUUUCCUCCAGAAACUUUAACAUUUUAAUCACUAUUAUUUUAAAUUACCUGUUGGAAGAGUUCAACAUCUGGAUCAUCUCUGAAUCUGAUUCUAUUAAUUAUUUUGUCUCUUGAUAUUUUAUUUUUUGGCUUUAUUAUAUACCUUUCCAGUUUUGAGUAAAUAUACUUUGUGUUCAGAACACUGUAAAAGUAAGUAAAUAGCAUUCCCUUGACUUUUGGUUUCUGGGGGGUUUUUAUAUACUUGGACUAAAACACACUUUGACUUUUAUUUGUUUAAAAAUUUUAGCUGAAUUAUACGUAAGCCGCUUGUAUGAUACUCCAUGUCUUUUAUCUCAUACUUUGCCACUAAUGAACAAGUGUUUGUGUCUCACUUCUCAGUAGAAAAAAAUUGUCUUUCCUUGUAUUUUAACCUAUGUGGAUGAUCUCUAGCUUUAUGUUUUACUGGUUUAGGAAAAAAUUAUUAUUUUGUACUUUGUCCUGUACAAAGUAUAUGUAAGCCUGAAGUUGUCAGUGGCCAUCUUGUGACUGAGUAGGAAAAGCUUGCAUGAUAAUAAGGCUAAAACAAGAAUUUAGUACUGAGACAACAGAGAAAAAGAUGCAUUCCUUUUUAUUAAAGUAGGCUGAACAAUACUCUUCCUAGUUUCAUAUUUUAGGUGGAAAUGUAAACUCUCUCAUUUAUGCUUUUAAAAAAUAUUUCUGGAGAACACAUGUUGUUUCACUAACCACUCUAUGUACUAGUGUAACAAGUUUAAAAUUCCAGGUCCUCACUUCAAGAAACUCAUAGAUUUGGAGGACAAACAUAUUUCAUAUUUUAAUUCAACUUGGUAAAUGCUAUUAAGGAAAUAUGGAGCAAACAGCUAUGGAAGUAUGGAACACAGUGAACAACUGCAUACGGAAGGCAUAAAAUGGAUGAUACAGACAGUUACAUUUGAGUUGGACUUUAGAUAAGAAUUCUUAUCUCUGUUAUGAAAUAUUCAUAAAAGAAUGUUACUCAGAAGAAACAGAAUUUGAGAAUGUAAGAAACUGUAAAAAGUCUGUUAUGUCCAAGGAAUAUUUAGAAGUUUAAUGUGGCAGAAACACGGAAGCAUGGAGGAGAGGAUGUGUAUUGAGUAGGAGUCAUGUAUGGAACAGGACUUAAAAGGAAUACCAGAUGGUGUAUUUUGUUAUUAUUAUUGAUUUUUUGAUACUAUAUAUGGGAUGCACAAGUACUUGAUAAUACUUGCUGGGUAAAUAGAUGCAAGUAUAAUACGUUUAAGCUGAAUAUCUCAUUUUUCCCUCAAGGAUCAGUCUUCCCCUUUUUAUAGAACAGGUAAUUUAUGCCCAUUCUUUCUACCUUUUUUAUCUACUAGUAAUUUCCUAUUCCCAUCUCUCUUGAAUGUUAAAUUUUAAAAUUCAUUUAUAUCACAUGAAUAUCUGUAUUUGGAGCUUCUCAUGGUAAUUGAAAAAGCUGAAAAUUUUGGCUGAGAUUCUUAAAUGGUAGUGAUAGCCUGGGACUGAGGAGUGGUUUCCUCCUUUAAGAAGGUUAUGUGCAGUCCCCAUCUGGCCUGCUUCACAAUGCUGACUUUAAUUUGUAGGAUUUAGAGUUUUCUAUCUUUGCUCUGUUAUCUUCAAAAACCCCUCCUUUCUAUCUGCUUUUCGCUAUUCCCAAGCCUUAAGCAGGCCAUUUUGCCUGAGGCAUUGUACCUGCCAGGACUGUUUUUAAAUGCUCAAAAUUAAUGCCAUCCCAGAAGUUAGAGUUUACAAGACACAUUCAGGAUUUUAUUUGUCACUCAUCUGGAGAAGUGGGCAUAGCAGAUAUGGAAGGUAUUCCCUUUAUGCAUAUGUGUUAAAUAUGUACAGAAACCGAGGCCUGUAUCACAGAGCUAAUGAAUACAAAAAUUGAGCUAGAAAUUCACCUCUUUUGUCACUUAGUUGCAGACUCUUUCCUCCAAGACACCAGGUUUCAGAUUCUCAGCUAUUUUUAUGUACCUCCAACCACCACUAAGCAGUCUAUUCUUCUCAAUAGUCUCCCACCUCGCUGCCUUUCCCCAGGUUUCCACACAUUUUUGGUUUCCUUGCUCUGUCUUUCUCACUAACUUGAGGUAGCACGGAAUAAAGAGAAUGCAAGUUGUUUCUAGUAGUUUAAACAUUUCUUCUCCCCUCCAGCUCCAAAAACAAAAGCUGCUGAGUUUAUGAAUUUAAAAGUAGAAAUUAGGCCAGUAAUUAUAGCUUUGGAGUUGAGGAAUUUUCAAUGUUUUUUUUUUUUCCUAGAAUUAUCAUCUUGAAGUUGAAACCUGAAUUCCCUAUCUUCUUCUUCUAGUAUUUUCACAUGAGAACUACAAAUUUAUUUACAAAGCAUGCCUAAUAACCAUUAGCAGGAUAAGUAAGGGAAGUCAGUUGACAUAUUAUUUGAGUCUGUCUUUCAAAACAUCAUAAUACCACACAGUAUGGAUUCUCAAAGGAAUCAGAAUGUUGCCUUUUAAGCAAGACAGGUUUUUAAGAAAAGAUUUUCUCCCUUACACAGAGGAAAAUUAAAAAUUCAGACAAGAUCAACUCAAAUAGGAAUAAUGCAAAGAUUUGCCAUUUGAGUGGAAUAGGGGUCGCUCGCCUUUUAAAUAACAUUAUUUAUGAAUUUGACUUUGGCUGGUCUGUGAUUAAAUCUUUUUUUUUCCUG